CUAUUUAAAACGGGAGUGAUGUUCAAUGCAUUCCUGGUCAGGAGGCAGGGCAGAUUCCGAACGAAUCAAACCUUGGCUGUCCUAUCAGUCAGGGUCCAGUCAAGAACACAGAAACCAGUUAACAGAGAAAAUUUAUUACAAGGGUGGCAAAAGCCGAAGGGAAAUGCCAAGAAAACACAGGUGGCCACGGAAAGAAGCUCCUGGACGGGUAGCGGUUAACAAAGGGCUAAGAGUUACAAGUUUACUAGAACCCGGAAGCUUAGAGGAGGAGCCUGGGAGAGGUGGAACUCAGACCGCGGAGGAAGGAGUGCUGGAGCGUUGGUGGUGGUUUCCUCUAGCACCCCCUGUUGGCGGACUUUAACAAGGAGCCAGCUGGCAAAGAGAACUGAGCUGCGAGGAGGCCAGUCCCGGCGGCUACGGGAAACGAGUACAGGUUUCUAGUUUGGGGCUCUUACACAUAAUGCUGUUACGAGCAUUCUUGUGUACUCGUAUUUUGGGUGUGUAUACCAAGGAGUGUUCUUGCUGGAUUUAAUAGAUACAGAUAAUAACUGUU